CCCCCCCCUCCCACUCGUUUUCUCUUGGAUCCGGUCACCGGAGAUUCUCCGAUCGACGACCGGUGGCGGGUUCGUUCAUGGCGGCGGCGGAAGAAACAGGGAGAGAGAGAACGAAAGGUGUGGUUGGUCGGAGCUGGUGACGACAAAGGUGACCCCACCUCAGGCAGCGGCGGUGGUGGCCACCCUCUUCUCCGGUGGUGUCAGCGGCACCCACCCCCCCCCCCAGCAGAUCGAGCAACGACCACCACCAUCGGGUGGUUGUGAAUGACGAGCACAAAAAUCAAGAGAGAGAGAAGGAGAGAGGCGGAGUCGAACGACGGUGGAGGAUUCGAACGACGGAGGUGGAGCUUGUAUACAGCGGGUUCGAGUUUUGGUUCAGCUUUAGUCAAGUUCGGGUCACGGUUCAUUCGGAUCAAAACAGUCAACGAUUUUGGUUCGGGUUCGCGACUCAGUUCGGUGUCGGGUCAGACACACGACUCCGGUGAGUGCUUCUUUUUCUCGUUUCGAGUAAAUGCAUUGAUUGAAGCCAGUUUCUAAACUAUUGUUUCUUUUUACCUUGGUGGUUAUUAUGGUUGCUUUAUUUCGAGUUCGGGUCGGUGAAGGUGGUUCAAGCUUUAGUUCGGUACAUGUUCAGGCUCGGGGUUAAGUUUGGCUCAACCGGCUCAAGUUCAAUCAACAAAAGUCAGAUCUGAUUUGGUUUAACUCGGGUUGACUCGGUCAAACCGAGUCAACUCAGUGUUCGGGUUAACUCAGUAUGGUUCGACUCGGUUCAACUCGACUCAGCCGGUUCAAAGCAGUCAACGGUUCGGAUAUUUUAGUUUCGGGUCAACAGUAUCAACGCCCGGUCAACUCGAAGAACCGGAAUGUCAUAGUUGCACGCUAGCUACUUCACGUUCUUGGAACGACACUACGGAAUCACGCUAAGCUAGCUUCGCACAGGAACAUCCAGGUUACUUUUCAAAUCAUGGCACGGUUGGAAUAGGAGAACCCAUGAGAAUUCGAGUACUUAACAGGCGUUCAAUUUCUAGAAGUCUUAGCAUUAUUAGAUUCCGCUGUGCAAUGAAGAUACCGGUCCAGUCACGCCAAUGCUCUGAUAUUUUCGGGGUGUGACAGAGUGUGUGUAAUUGCCAAGAGUUUGCAGAGAGUUCGAGUGUUGUGAAUGUAUGUUGCUAUAUUUCUAAAUAAAGCUUGUUAUCCCCUUUAAAAUUAGAAAAUAUCUAAGUAACAAACUAUCCGAAAUAGGUGCAAGCUUCCCCACGAUCACCACAACGGUCAUAGAGUCA